CCCACAGCCCCACCCACCCACGCACACCACACAACCACUCACGCCAUGGAACACACAUCACACAACCACCCACCAACUAACACAUCCAUGGCCACGGAACGCACACCACACAGCCACCCUCCAACACAUCCAUGGCCGGCGCGGGCAAGCAGGCCAUCCGCGGGGGCGGGGAGCAGGGCGGCCGCACUUGGCGGAUGCACGAGCGGUGAGCAGGGCGGUGCCGCGGGCGGCGCCGCGGGCACGGAGCAGGGCCACCGCGCUGGCAGCGAGCUUGGCGGAUGCUCGGGCGACGAGCUUGCCGGACGCGCGGGCGACGAGCAUGGCGCGCAGCGGCGGCUCACUCCACCGUCGACUGCUCAGCGCAAGGGCGCGACGGAUUCUUCCCUCGGGCGCGCGGCAGCCUCUUCGCUCGGGCGCGCGGUGGCAUCUUUC
rnacentral:rRNA from 1 species